rnacentral:rRNA from 1 species
UACGUAGGGGGCAAGCGUUGUCCGGAUUCAUUGGCGUAAAGAGCGUGUAGGCGGCCAGGUAGGUCGGUUGUGAAAACUAGGAGGCUCAACCUUCAGACGUCGACCGAAACCAUCUGGCUAGAGUCCGGGAGAGGAGAGUGGAAUUCCUGGUGUAGCGGUGAAAUGCGCAGAUAUCAGGAAGAACACCCGUGGCGAAAGCGGCUCUCUGGAACGGUACUGACGCUGAGACGCGAAAGCGUGGGGAGCGAACAGG